UAGCAACACAUUCCAGCCAAUCAGCAGCAGACCCUCCCUCCCAGACCCUCCCACCUCCUGGACAGCAUCCAUUUUACAUUCAUUGUGAAGCUGUAUUCUUAGUGAGCUGUCCAGGAGGUGGGAGGGUCUGGGAGGGAGGGUCUGCUGCUGAUUGGCUGGAAUGUGUCUG